UGCAGGGUAGAGAAGCGGUCCAUCUCGCCUGGUUCAUUCCCAGGAGACCGCCGGUUCGAAUCCGGCCCCUGCGA
rnacentral:tRNA from 1 species